CUUCAAUCUGCAGUACUUGCCUUUUGCAUCACAAGAUUUACAUGUUGGACUGGACCAAUUCAAUUGAAGAAUGUUCUCCUGGUACUCCCUACUAAGAAGGGACCAAUAUGCAACUUCUGAAUAGUCAUGUAUCUUAGUGCAAUAUAAUAGGUUGGCAUCAUAAAUGCCGACGUAUGAUACAAUAGCAACGACAUCAUAGUGUAGACCGCUGAGGCAAGGGAUCCGCCAUAUGUAAUUAAUCCAAACAUCCAGUUUCCUUGAAGGGCAUUUGAAUAAGGUGAUGUUCCACCUUUCAUUCAUUAACUCGAAGGGAGAAACAGAUGCAUUCAAGUUUAAAAUAAGCCGUCUUGGAAGGCAACCUCCUGAAUCAUUUGCAUAAAUCACUUGAGACUUAUAAUCAAUUUCUUGGACGAAAAGUUUCCAUGAAUUUGGAAGCUCCAGCACAGUAUCAUUCUUCUCCGAGCAAGAAAGAUGAAACCCAGGCUGAGGAUAGCCACAGUGGAGUGGCUGCUUGCCUCUGAUUCGGAAGGGAAAUCGAACAGGGGGCCCGAAGCUCCCACAAGAUGACGUAUUGCAAUCAUUGAAGCCUAAUCCAUCAUCUACAAGGAAUAUAAUGAACCA
rnacentral:misc_RNA from 1 species